rnacentral:rRNA from 1 species
UGUGUAGGCGGUUUAUUAAGUCAUUUGUAAAAGAUCUCAGCUCAACUGAGUAAAGCGAGUGAAACUGGUAGACUUGAAUACGGUAGAGGUAAGUGGAAUUCCAUGUGUAGCGGUGGAAUGCGUAGAUAUAUGGAGGAACACCAAUGGCGAAGGCAACUUACUGGGCCGGAAUUGACGCUGAGACACGAAAGCGUGGGGAGCAAACAGGAUUAGAUACCCUGGUAGUCC